AUUGAACGCUGGCGGCAGGCCUAACACAUGCAAGUCGAACGGUAGCACAGAGAGCUUGCUCUCGGGUGACGAGUGGCGGACGGGUGAGUAACGUCUGGGAAACUGCCCGAUGGAGGGGGAUAACUACUGGAAACGGUAGCUAAUACCGCAUAACGUCGCAAGACCAAAGUGGGGGACCUUCGGGCCUCACACCAUCGGAUGUGCCCAGAUGGGAGUAGCUAGUAGGUGGGGUAAUGGCUCACCUAGGCGACGACCCCUAGCUGGUCUGAGAGGAUGACCAGCCACACUGGAACUGAGACACGGUCCAGACUCCCACGGGAGGCAGCAGUGGGGAAUAUUGCACAAUGGGCGCAAGCCUGAUGCAGCCAUGCCGCGUGUAUGAAGAAGGCCUUCGGGUUGUAAAGUACUUUCAGCGGGGAGGAAGGCGGUGAAGUUAAUAGCUUCACCGAUUGACGUUACCCGCAGAAGAAGCACCGGCUAACUCCGUGCCAGCCGCCGCCGUAA
rnacentral:rRNA from 1 species